ensembl:lncRNA
GGUAGAUAAAGAUUUGAACAUCCUUCAAAGAGCCCCCUUGGUUCACAGCCCUCGCUUUGUACUGAAGGGGGUCCCUCUUGUCCCUGGCCAGUUUCAUUAUCUUCAGCUUGUCUUGAAAGCACUGGAACUUUACCAAGAUCGGCCUUGGACCCUUGGCUUUGACGUUGUCCAGGAUACCAGUGCGAUGACAGCGCUCUAUCACAGGAGGAACGGAGAAAUUUGCUUCACCUAGAAGUUUUGGAAUCAGAUGACUUAUGAAGCCGAGGACAUCCCCGGCCUCGGCCCUCUCGGGUAUGCCGACGAAUCGUAGAUUGGAGCGUCUGCUUCGGUUCUCGGCGUCUUCAGUCCAUGAUUAAAGCCAGAGGUGCAUAACGUCGGAAAGAGGGACUCUUCACACAUCCUCACGAAGGUCGCAGACCAACAAAGAUCAUUUAUAAAGCUCAUUUCAGGUAAGUCCUAGUCCCAUUUUUUUUUCUUAAUAAAAAAUGCUUGGAGUUGAAAUCUUUUAUGUGAGCAUUAUUGUCAGUUUUUCCUCUCAUUAUUCAUUCAUUAUUAAUAAUAUUUUCAAUGCCAGCAGCACACAUGGAAAAAGUUUAUCUGAGCAACCAUCGAGAAGAUCAACAAGUUAAAAGCCAAGCAACACCAUGAGGCCGGAUAUACUCUUGUUUAAUUAUACAAUACACAGAAAAAAGUAAAGGCUCAAUAAAUUAUUAGAAGACGUGUCAUAUAUAUAUAUAUGUACGUCAUAAUCUCUGCAUGACAGGUGAAAGUGUAAAAACGAAAAUCUCAACGGUGGCCUCUUCCAGUUUACCAAUGGCAUCCUGGUUCCCUAGGCAACCCAAUAGGGUCAGGGUCUCCAUGCCAGUAAGAUGGUGCUGCCAUGAAGAGGACACCAUACACCAAUCAGACGACCAGGAGAACCACUUGUCUCCCACACGCUCUUCUUCACUGUCCUCAGGUGGGAGGUGGAGGCGAAUUUCUGGCCUAUCCGGAGCUUUUGUAUUUAUCCCACCUGACUCCUCCUCGUCUGACUCCUCCUCCC